rnacentral:rRNA from 1 species
CUGACUAAGCAUAUCAAUAAGCGGAGGA